rnacentral:rRNA from 1 species
UACGGGGGGGGCAAGCGUUGUUCGGAAUUACUGGGCGUAAAGGGCUCGUAGGCGGCCAACUAAGUCAGACGUGAAAUCCCUCGGCUUAACCGGGGAACUGCGUCUGAUACUGGAUGGCUUGAGUUUGGGAGAGGGAUGCGGAAUUCCAGGUGUAGCGGUGAAAUGCGUAGAUAUCUGGAGGAACACCGGUGGCGAAGGCGGCAUCCUGGACCAACACUGACGCUGAGUGAGCGAAAGCGUGGGGAGCGAACAGG